rnacentral:rRNA from 1 species
AUUGAACGCUGGCGGCAUGCCUUUCACAUGCAAGUCGAACGGCAGCGGGGACUUCGGUCCGCCGGCGAGUGGCGAACGGGUGAGUAAUGUAUCGGAACGUACCAUUCAGUGGGGGAUAACUAUCCGAAAGGAUAGCUAAUACCGCAUAUUCUGUGAGCAGGAAAGCAGGGGAUCGCAAGACCUUGCGCUGAUUGAGCGGCCGAUAUCAGAUUGGCUAGUUGGUGAGGUAACGGCUCACCAAGGCUACGAUCUGUAGCGGGUCUGAGAGGAUGAUCCGCCACACUGGGACUGAGACACGGCCCAGACUCCUACGGGAGGCAGCAGUGGGGAAUUUUGGACAAUGGGCGCAAGCCUGAUCCAGCCAUGCCGCGUGAGUGAAGAAGGCCUUCGGGUUGUAAAGCUCUUUCGGCCGGGAAGAAAUCGCAUCAGCUAAUACCUGGUGUGGAUGACGGUACCGGAAUAAGAAGCACCGGCUAACUACGUGCCAGCAGCCGCAGUAAAAC